rnacentral:rRNA from 1 species
GACGAACGCUGGCGGCGUGCUUAACACAUGCAAGUCGAACGGAAAGGCCCUGCUUUUGUGGGGUGCUCGAGUGGCGAACGGGUGAGUAACACGUAAGUAACCUGCCCUUUACUUUGGGAUAACUUCAGGUAACUGGGGCUAAUACCGGAUAGGAGCUCCUGCUGCAUGGUGGGGGUUGGAUCGUUUCGGCGGUUGGGGAUGGACUGGCGGCUUAUCAGCUUGUUGGUGGGGUAGUGGCUUACCAAGGCUUUGACGGGUAGCCGGCCUGAGAGGGUGACCGGCCACAUUGGGACGGGGAUACGGCCCAGACUCCUACGGGAGGAAGCAGUGGGGAAUAUUGCACAAUGGGCGGAAGCCGGAUGAAGAAACGCCGCGUGCGGGAUGACGGCCUUCGGGUGGUAACCGGCUUUCGCCGGUGACGAAGCGUGAGUGACGGUAAUGGGUAAAGAAGCACCGGCUAACUACGUG